rnacentral:rRNA from 1 species
GAUGAACGCUGGCGGCGUGCCUAAUACAUGCAAGUCGAGCGAACGGACGAGAAGCUUGCUUCUCUGAUGUUAACGGCGGACGGAUGAGUAACACGUGCAUAACAUACCUAUAAGACUGGGAUAACUUCGGGAAACCGGAGCUAAUACCGGAUGAUAUUUUGAACCGCAGGGUUCAAAAGUGCAAGACGGUCUUGAUGUCACUUAUAGCUGUAUCCGUGCUGCGUUAGCGAGUUGGUAAGGAAACGGCUUACCAAGGCAACGAUGCAUAGCCGACCUGCGAGGGUGAUGAGGCCCACUGGGAGUGAGACGCGGUCCAGAGUCCUAGGGAAGGCAGCAAUACGGAAUCGGGGGAGAGGGGCGAAAGCCUGACGAAGCAGCGCCACGUGAGUGAUGAAGGGCUUCGGGUGGGAAAACGCUGUUAUUGGUGAAGAACAUAUUUGUAAGGGACUAUGCUCAUCGUGACGGUACCUAAUGAAAAAGCCCCGGCUAACUACGUG